rnacentral:rRNA from 1 species
AGGUCCAGCCUGCCCAGUGACUACGGGUUCAACGGCCGCGGUAUUUUGACCGUGCAAAGGUAGCGCAAUCACUUGUCUCUUAAAUAGAGACCUGUAUGAAUGGCUAGACGAGGGCUUAACUGUCUCCCCCCUUCGGUCAGUGAAAUUGAUCUAUCCGUGCAGAAGCGGGUAUAACUAUACAAGACGAGAAGACCCUUUGGAGCUUAAGGUACAAAAUUCAACCACGUUAAACGACUCCAUAGAAAGCAAGAACUUAGUGGCGAAUGAAAUUUUACCUUCGGUUGGGGCGACCACGGAGGAAAAAGAAGCCUCCGAGUGGACUGGGCUAAACCCUAAAGCCAAGAGAUACAUCUACAAGCCGCAGAACAUCUGACCAAUAAUGAUCCGACUGAAAAGCCGAUCAACGAACCAAGUUACCCUAGGGAUAACAGCGCAAUCCUCUCCCAGAGUCCAUAUCGACGAGGGGGUUUACGACCUCGAUGUUGGAUCAGGACAUCCUAAUGGUGCAGCCGCUAU